rnacentral:ncRNA from 2 species
CAAAUCAAUGGCGAUGGAGCUCGCCGAAACCGCCUUUUCAACCCGAUAAAUCAUCACUUGAAAGGCUGAUGGCUCCUACUUUCUU